rnacentral:rRNA from 1 species
ACGAACGCUGGCGGCGUGCCUAAUACAUGCAAGUCGAGCGAAUCGAUGGGAGCUUGCUCCCUGAGAUUAGCGGCGGACGGGUGAGUAACACGUGGGUAACCUGCCUGUAAGACUGGGAUAACUUCGGGAAACCGGAGCUAAUACCGGAUAGUUUCUUUUCUCGCAUGAGAGAAGAUGGAAAGAUGGUUCUGCUAUCACUUACAGAUGGACCCGCGGCGCAUUAGCUAGUUGGUGAGGUAACGGCUCACCAAGGCGACGAUGCGUAGCCGACCUGAGAGGGUGAUCGGCCACACUGGGACUGAGACACGGCCCAGACUCCUACGGGAGGCAGCAGUAGGGAAUCUUCCGCAAUGGACGAAAGUCUGACGGAGCAACGCCGCGUGAGCGAAGAAGGCCUUCGGGUCGUAAAGCUCUGUUGUUAGGGAAGAACAAGUACGAGAGUAACUGCUCGUACCUUGACGGUACCUAACCAGAAAGCCACGGCUAACUACGUG